UACGAAGGGGGCUAGCGUUGCUCGGAAUUACUGGGCGUAAAGGGCGCGUAGGCGGAUAUUUAAGUUAGAGGUGAAAGCCCAGGGCUCAACCCUGGAAUAGCCUUUAAUACUGGAUAUCUUGAGUUCGGGAGAGGUGAGUGGAAUGCCGAGUGUAGAGGUGAAAUUCGUAGAUAUUCGGCGGAACACCAGUGGCGAAGGCGACUCACUGGCCCGAGUACUGACGCUGAGGCGCGAAAGCGUGGGGAGCAAACAGGG
rnacentral:rRNA from 1 species